UACAGAGGUCUCAAGCGUUGUUCGGAUUCAUUGGGCGUAAAGGGCGCGUAGGCGGCCACGCACGUCCGUUGUGAAAUCGCCCGGCUCAACUGGGCGGGGUCAGCGGAUACGGUGUGGCUCGAGCAAGCUAGGGGGCAAUGGAAUUCCCGGUGUAGUGGUGGAAUGCGUAGAUAUCGGGAGGAACACCAGUGGCGAAGGCGGUUGCCUGGAGCUUUGCUGACGCUGAGGCGCGAAAGCCAGGGGAGCGAACGGG
rnacentral:rRNA from 1 species